GUACAGAAUCUGACCAUGACAUCUGUUGUCCCAAUGAUUGCCAAGGGUGAGUGAACUGAUCUGAGAGACUAGGCGGGCAUCCCUUUCCUCCCUCAACACUCCACGUGCAUCCCUCUCAAAGCUGUGUGUUUGGCUGAAGAGGACGAUCACCUCUGAAAGAGGAGGACUGUUCCUCCGUCAAGGGUACAGGAAUAGCUGUGCUCUCCUGCAGGAACCUCCAAAUGCUGUGCUCUCAAAACAGUCACAUUAUUUUACUCUCUAGGAGCACAUAAAGGUUAUUAUGCGCCAUGUCCUCCUCAAUCCUUGAUUUUG
rfam:Cavia porcellus supercont2_134 genomic scaffold, whole genome shotgun sequence.